rnacentral:tRNA from 3 species
GCUCGAAUGGUGAAAUGGUAGACACUGGGGACUUAAAAUCCCCUGGCCAUUGCGGCCGUGCGGGUUCGAGUCCCGCUUCGAGCA